GACGAACGCUGGCGGCGUGCUUAACACAUGCAAGUCGAACGGAAAGGCCCUGCUUUUGUGGGGUGCUCGAGUGGCGAACGGGUGAGUAACACGUGAGUAACCUGCCCUUGACUUUGGGAUAACUUCAGGAAACUGGGGCUAAUACCGGAUAGGAGCUCCUGCUGCAUGGGGGGGGUUGGAAAGUUUCGGCGGUUGGUGAUGGACUCGCGGCUUAUCAGCUUGUUGGUGGGGUAGUGGCUUACCAAGGCUUUGACGGGUAGCCGGCCUGGGAGGGUGACCGGCCACAUUGGGACUGAGAUACGGCCCAGACUCCUACGGGAGGCAGCAGUGGGGAACAUUGCACAAUGGGCGGAAGCCUGAUGCAGCAACGCCGCGUGCGGGAUGACGGCCUUCGGGUUGUAAACCGCGUUCGCCUGUGACGAAGCGUGAGUGACGGUAAUGGGUAAAGAAGCACCGGCUAACUACGUG
rnacentral:rRNA from 1 species